AUUGAACGCUGGCGGCAUGCCUUACACAUGCAAGUCGAACGGCAGCACGGGGCAACCUGGUGGCGAGUGGCGAACGGGUGAGUAAUGCAUCGGAACGUGCCAUUGAGUGGGGGAUAACGUAGCGAAAGUUGCGCUAAUACCGCAUAUUCUGUGAGCAGGAAAGCAGGGGACCGCAAGGCCUUGCGCUCUUUGAGCGGCCGAUGUCAGAUUAGCUAGUUGGUGAGGUAACGGCUUACCAAGGCGACGAUCUGUAGCGGGUCUGAGAGGAUGAUCUGCCACACUGGAACUGAGACACGGUCCAGACUCCUACGGGAGGCAGCAGUGGGGAAUUUUGGACAAUGGGCGCAAGCCUGAUCCAGCCAUGCCGCGUGAGUGAAGAAGGCCUGGUGUAAG
rnacentral:rRNA from 1 species